rnacentral:rRNA from 1 species
UACAGAGGCCUCGAGCGUUAGGCGGAAUCACUGGGCUUAAAGCGUGUGUAGGCGGACCCCUAAGUGUCUUGUGAAAUCCCACGGCUCACCCGUGGAACGGCUGGGCAUACUGGCGAUCUUGGGCCAACUAGGGGCAACUGGAACAAGCGGUGGAGCGGUGAAAUGCGUAGAUAUCGCUUGGAACGCCGAAGGUGAAAACAGGUUGCUGGGGGUUGUGCCGACGCUGAGACACGAAAGCCAGGGGAGCAAACGGG